GCAGUGGGGAAUAUUGCACAAUGGGGGAAACCCUGAUGCAGCCAUGCCGCGUCGUGUGAAGAAGGACCUUCGGGUUGUAAAGCAACUUUCAGUAGGGAGGAAGGUAGUGUAGUUAACACCUGCAUUAUUUGACGUUACCUACAGAAGAAGCACCGGCUAACUCCGUGCCAGCAGCCGCGGUAAUACGGAGGGUGCGAGCGUUAAUCGGAAUUACUGGGCGUAAAGCGCAUGCAGGCGGCCUGUUAAGUCAGAUGUGAAAGCCCGGGGCUUAACCUCGGAAUUGCAUUUGAAACUGGCAGGCUAGAGUCUUGUAGAGGGGGGUAGGAAUUUCAGGUGUAGCGGUGAAAUGCGUAGAGAUCUGAAGGAAUACCAGUGGCGAAGGCGGCCCCCUGGACAAAGACUGACGCUCAGAUGCGAAAGCGUGGGGAGCAAACAGGAUUAGAUACCCCUGGUAG
rnacentral:rRNA from 1 species